AUUGAACGCUGGCGGCAGGCCUAACACAUGCCAGUCGAGCGGAGCGGCGGACGGGUGAGUAAUGCCUAGGAAUCUGCCUGGUAGUGGGGGAUCACGUCCGGAAACGGGCGCUAAUCCCGCAUACUAUCACAUGAGCCUAGGUCGGAUUAGCUAGUUGGUGUGGUAAAGGCCUACCAAGGCGACGAUCCGGAACUGGUCUGAUAGGAUGAUCAGUCACACUGGAACUGAGACACGGUCCAGACUCCUACGGGAGGCAGCAGUGGGGAAUAUUGGACAAUGGGCGAAAGCCGUAUCCAGCCAUGCCGCGUGUGUGAAGAAGGUCUUCGGAUUGUAAAGCACUUUAAGUUGGGAGGCGUUACCAACAGAAUAAGCACCGGCUAACUACGUGCCAGCCGCCGCGGUAAUUC
rnacentral:rRNA from 1 species